rnacentral:lncRNA from 1 species
UUUAUUUAAAUAGUCCCUUAUUCUAAUCCCACUUUGAAAUUUAAUACUAAUUACUAAUUUAUCACCCACUUAUUUUAAUUUAAUAAUUCAACCCCCAAGAAUAUUUAUACUCAAACUUUUAACCCUUUAAACAAACUUCACAUCUUUGCAGUCAAUAUGUAUAUACCAUUAAAUCCUUAAUCCAAAACCUCCAAAUUUUAGUUUUCCCCCAUCAAUUCCCAUCAAACCAAUUUAUAUUAUUUUCCAGCAUUCCCUUAAUCACUAUAAAUCAUGAUUUAAACCAUGUUAUUUUGAAUUUACAAUAUUUAAGUCCCUAGAGAUUAAUAUCAACAAAAAUCAUCACUCAAUUUGACCAAAUUAGCCCAUAAGACCUAUAAUUUACUCAUCACCUCAAAGACAUUUAACAUUCUAUAUAAAAAAAAACAGUACCUACACUCUUCAUGAUUUAUCAAAUCAGUCCCUACUUAAGCUUGGUCUAGCUUCAACAAUUUUAAAAGUGCAAAAUUUACUAAAGUGGUAGCUCAAACACGUACAUAUAUAUAAAUAUAAUUUCAUAAUCACUCACAAAUUUAACAUCCAACCAAAUAACACCAAGCAUCAAUAGUAACUUCUACAAAUAUCAUUAAUUCUCACAAUUUCAGCAUGGGCAAAUUAACUCAUAACAUUAAGACUUCAAAAACAUAAAUUUCAUCUAAAAAUAACCAAAAUUCACUAACCAAAUUAAACAUGCAACAAGAGCUCUUGGCCGUGCAACUUCUCCCCUCUUUCCUUUUUGUUUCGGAAAGAAGAAAAUUAAAGAAAAUUUUUGCUUGGAAUUCCUCUCCCCACUAACCAUUAUCUCCCAUCUAUUAAUAAUAUAUAUAUAUCCUUUUAUAUAACAAAUUUUAACUUAAUUAUUAUACUAACUUAACACAUAUAAUACUUAUAAUAUUUACUAAAACCGUCCACCAUCACACACUUAUAUAAAUAAUGGCUUAUUUAUUUAAUAAGCCCCUUAAUAUAGAUUCACCUUAUAAUUUAGUAUUAAUUCUUACUUUUAUCACUUAUUUAAUUUAGUCCCUUUACUUUAAUUAAACACUCUUUCGUCAAAAUUACAUAACCAAAAAUUUAAUUCACUUCUAAUAUAACUCUGUAAAUAUUUAAUAAAAAUAUUUACGAGUCUAGUUUAGGGAAACGAGGUCCCGACACCUUAAUUUCCAAAACCAUUGACUUUAGAACUGAUACACUUGUACAUUGUCUAACUUUCUAAUAAUUAAAAUUAUUAGAUCAACCUCAAUAUAAUACUGUUAUACCUUCGUAAUUAUGAAUAAAUAAUAUUCACUAAAUCUAUCUUCGGAAAACAACAUUCUAAAACCACUGCUUUCGACUUUAUUAACUUUUGAGUCAUUACACCUAAAGUUGAUUUGUAGUUAGUAACUCAGUUCAAAUGUAAUAGCAUCCUAACAACCAUCAUGCAAUGAAACCAUUAAUCCCGAAUCUUCAUAACUCAGUUAUAAUCUAAGUAGCAUCACGCAAUGAACCAUUAAUCACAAAUCUUCAAAACUCAAUUUAAAUGCAGUAGCAUCCUAAGUACCAUCACCACCAUUAAUCCCAAAUCUUCAUAAUUCAGUUCAAAUACAAUAGCAUCUUAAAAUCCAUCACGCAAUGAAUUAUUUCCACUUUUCUUUUAACCCCAAAAAAAUGCAUAAAUAUGAACCAAUGAAAAAGUCAACACAGCAACACCAUCAAUCUUUCAUCUUUAAGAGAAAAAAUAAUUAUCAAAAACACCUUACAUGAAAAGGAGAACACCCAAAAAUCAACAGCUUAUAGCACUUAAAAAGCUAAAAUAAAAAACUUGUUUCAUUUGAGGAAAAUCUUGAUCCCAAAAUAGGCAAAUAAACUCGUGAUUCGACAUACUAAUUUGCAUAAGUAAAAAAAAAAACCAUCAGUUUUAGGGUUACCUAUGUUGCACAAGCUUCUUUGAAAAUUACUUGCUUUCAGUUCAAGAAGUCUGAAUCAGUACUGAGAGAUUGAUUAGCAAUUCUAUGAUCUAGUGUUCUUCAAUUGAGCCUGGAUUUUUUUCCUUGCUGAAGACUUUGCCUCUAAUUAAGAAUUUUUAUGAUCUCGAUUCCUAUGAGGAAAGGAUUGAAGAAGUUGGUGAGGAGCAAUGGUGUUUUAGGGCUUGGGAAAUGGAGAAGGGAAUGAAUGGGAAGGCUAUAGUUGAAAGUGCAGAAAGAACAAUGAUAAAAAAUGAGGGUAAAAAUGAAAAAAAAUAAUCUUUUAGCAUUCCUAUCGUGUUUUGAAUGGGCAAUUCAGAGGUUGGGACAAAAAGUGAUUAGUGGGAAUAGAAAACUAAACAUCUGAACCAAACAAUAGUUUAAAUUUACGUUUAUAUAUAUUAUAGGUUAAAUACAUUUUCUUAUAGAUAUUUUCUACUGUCACAUUAUACUUGAUUACUAGAUUUUACCAAUUAUUAAGUGAGUGAAGAAAAACAGUAAUUAAUUUAAUGAUUCUUUUUUCAUUCUAAGUAACGUUUUGUAUCAUUUAUCUAAUCAACAAGGGCCAAGGCAGGAAAAACAUUUGAGCGGGUUGAGAAUUAAAUUAUAAAUUUUUUUAGGGAUUAACUUUAUACUAAUUCAUAAUUUUAUAAUUUUUCAAAGGACUUACAAAGCAAUUUUACUAUUUUAGCCAUAACUGCCUACACGUUAGAUUCUAUCUUAUAAAGUUAUUAUAAUUUAAUUUUAAGGUCAAAAUAAGCUGUUAGUCCCUGUAUUUGUAUAGAAUUUGAGAUUUAAUCCAUAUACUUUAAAAUUUAAAAAUUCAAUCCUCUUACUUUUUCAAUUUAAAAACCCUAGUCCAAUCAUUAUUGUCAUUGGUAAUUUUCCAACUUAACAUAUUAUUUUCCAUCAAUUAUAUAUCGCGCCAUAUGAAGACAACCUAAUCAAAUUUCUAAAUUCUUAAAUUUUGACAGAAAAUACUUACAAUUUUAAUGAUAAUAUUGAGAUUUUUAAAUCAAUAAACUAAAGGGACUUUUUUUAAACUUUUAAAAUAUAGGAACUAAAUUCCAAAUUUUAUACAAAUACAAGGAUUAAUAACAUAUUUUAACUUGAUUUCAAUUAUCUUCAACUUUUCACUAAUUAAUUUAAAGUCACUGAAUCAUUAAAAUAGAAUUUGCAACCUUGACUGAUAAAGAUAAACAAAAAGAAAGAAUUUAGUAAAAUAUGAAAAAGAGAGAGAGUGGCAGUUUCACUUAAAAAUUUUAGGAAAAACUUCUACUUAGCUCGUGAAUCUCAAUGCAGUUGACAAUGGCACUCAAACACGUUUUAUUGACGUUUAGGAGACUUGUUGAUCUGCUAAAGAUAUGCCUACACAUAAUUCUGGGUCUCAACCAUACAUUUAAUGAUUUUUCUAAAACGAAGAAGUUCUUGAGCACUCAAUUAACGUUCUUUGAUUUUUCUAAUAAAAGAAAUAAUGUAAUUUUAUUCUUUCAUUACUUCAUUUAUUUCAACAUUUAAAGCGGAUUGAAGUUUAAAUUGAUUGGCAUUGACAAGUAAAAUUAUGUGGGUUCGAGUGUGUUGAAACGCAUUAUUUUCUUAUUUAAGAGUCAAGGAAGAGCUAUGGGUAGUUUUAACCAUAAUAUACAAAAAAUAAAUAUGAUAAGAACCUAUAAUGAAAUUAAUAUUAAAAAAAUAAUUUCAUUUAUCGUAUUUUACACACGUUUGAAAUACAAAAAAAAAAUAUAUUUUUUUGUAAACUCUAAUUGAGUAGAUGGGUCAAAAUGAAAAGAUAAGUCUCUAUUAAUUGAUAAAUCUAGUCUAUUUAUAUAUAAAUAUAAUCUUGUUUUGGUAGGAUUUGUCUUUUUUAUUUAUAUUAGAUUUAAUUAUAAAUAAAUAUAUAAAAUUAAAAUAAAAUAGAAGAUAUAAAUAAGAAAUUAGUUUUGGAAUAAAUAUAAGAGUCACACAUACAAAUUCACCAAAUUUUUUUUUUUUUUUGUAAUCUCAAGUUUCCUCAUUUCAUAUGUUGGGUGGUUCUCUUCUCUUUUAAUAUGUGGUUGAAAGAGCAGGUAGAGAAGGAUAUUAUUUCUAAGUUCCAUCUUCUGGGUUUUGAAAACUAAAGGGUAUUUUUGGACAUAUCAUUUUAAAAACCUAAAUCUUUGUUAAAACGAAAAGAGAAUAAGCAAAUCAGAGAAAUUGUAUGAUUUUUUUAACGCAGUGUCAAAAGAAAUUGAAGUUAUCGAAUUAGAUCACAAUCUUAAAAAAUAGACAAUAAUAGAUAUAAGACAUGCUCUAAAAUCAAUUUAUUUUGGCUAUAAAAGUAAAUUUUAAUAAAAUAUAAUAAUUUCUUUAAAAUAUUAGUAUUUUAAUUAAUUGAUUAAUUUUAAAAUACUAAAUUUGUCUUUAUUUGUUUGAAAAGGAAUUAAUAAUAAAAUUGAAAAAUAAAUUAAAUAUAAUAAUUUCACAUUAAUUUUUUAUAUAAAAUUUCUUUCUCAUCUAACUACUAAAAUAUAAAACUUUUACUAUCACAAAAAUUAUAAUCCAUUCAAAAAAAAAAAACACCACCAAACGAACAAUGAAAGCAAAUAUACCAAAAAAAAAAAACCAUAAAUGUCAUUAAUUAUAGAUAGAUAUAAAUAAUGAAAGAAAAUUUUAGUUAGAGAUAAGAAAUAUUACAAAUGUGUAGGAAUAUUUAAUUGGAUAUAAUAGUUAAAACUUAAUGUAAAAUUAAUAUUAUAAAAUUUUAGAGAUAUUUAAUUAAAUAAAAAAUAAAAAAGACAAUUUUACUCCUAUUUAUUUCUCUUAUUAUUUAAGUCAUUCCUUGACAAAAAAAGAAAAAGCAAGUGAAUGAUACUGGAUUCAAUGACGAAUGGAGCCUUUAUUACAUAAGUUUUAUAUAAUAUAAAUACACUCACUUUUUCUUCAUCUCACAUGAAAAUUUUGCCACUUCCACCCAAAUUUCCGUUCCUUUUUUGAAUUUAUGUGUCUUUGGGUUGCUGUUAGUUUUAAUAAUGGCAAGAUUAAAGAAAUAGAGAUGUACACAAUAAUUGAUUUUGCAGUUUGAAUUUUUGUUAUGUUUUUGGGAUUUUUUUCCUAAUACUAAAUUCACUCAUUAAAUUA